UAUUCGUUUGUUGUAUGUUUAGGCUGUGCGUUUGUUCAUGUAUCAGGGCCGGAAAGAUAGUGUUCACCUCUAAACCUAAUUCCGCUCAAACAGAAGAUCACGGGUCGUCUCUUUCUCUUGCUGCGACUGUAGACGUCUGAGCUUCCUUUCUCCAUCUGAAACGGCCCGAUUUGUGAUUCAGUGAUUAAUCAUAUUAAUUACAUCACCCACUAUAAGGUCUUCAAUGCGUUGUUCAUCUCCAAGUCGGUGUGAAAUCUGUAUAAAUAUUCCGACAGGUGCUCAUCCGUCGUCGAGGCUAGGCUGCUGCGGUUCUAGGAGAGGAGAGAGAUGAAAAGGCCGGUGAUUGAUUCCCUUAUGGUCGUAAAAGAUGCGCUAGGGUCAUUCUAAAAUCUGGUAAGAUUCACUGUCUUUCUUAUGAUUAUGAGCUAGAGUAGUUUAAAAGAUCGGGUAUUAAGGUUCGAAAUAAGUGUUUGAAUGUAGAGCUCAUAUCUUGAGUAUUGAUUUGUGAUCAUGUGAUCUCUAUUCUACAGUGACCACAUAAACAUGAUUCGUUUCUUUGUCGUACCAACUCAUGUGCUUUGUUCCUUACAUUGAUGGGCUUAGUCAUUGACUUUAAUUAUCUCACCUUGAAUCUUUUCCUCUGCUAUGCCUGAUGGUUUUUUUGGGUUGUUUCACCUUGAGUCUUUUCCUCUUGCAUUGAUUUCCAUGAUGAAGAGUGGGGAGUUCUUGUCCAUGACAACAAUUAUUAAGCCUCUCUGGUGUUCUUUCCGAACUAUCCUGGAAAUAUAUUCUUUUCAAAAGACAAUCAUUCAGGGAAAUUUUCAUGGAAUUUGAUUUCGUUCCUACAUCUUCACAAAAAAAAAGAACAUCCCCUGAGUUGCAACCACUCCAUUACUAUCCAUGAUCCAAGGCUUAAUGGUUUGCUUUUCUUUUUUUUUUUCCAUUACAGUAAUUAUCUGGUUACUAUACGAACUUUGUCACUACAUUCUAAAAGCUUUGGAAAAAUAACACUCCGCCAGACUUGAAAACGGUUUCAGUCAACCAGGUUAAAGUACUUGACUGCUUGUGAUAGACUUAUCAAGUUAAGAAUUAAUCAGUUGGUACAGCCAUUUGAACGUAUUUAACACAAGUAUUGUGUGCAUGUAAUCUUUGUGCAAUCAAUUUGCUUCGUUGGCUGUUAGUAGAACUCAGACAUGCUUCACUCACAGCUACUUGGGAUGUUUAUUGAUCAGAAUUCUCUCUUUACAGGUUAAACACAGGUAUAGAGUUGCACAUUCCCAUCUUUGGCUUCCCACAUGAGAAGAAAUUUGGGAACAUCGUCUGGAAAUCAUAGAAUUCUUUCUUUACCUUCACCUAAAACAAACAGAGAUGAUAUGAGUGUUCAGAAAAAUAUCCAGAUUAAUACAGAGUUAGCCAGAAGAUUAUGAACGCACAUGAGGCAGAAGCAGCUGCAAAACAGGCAGUUUCACAGGUAGAAGCUGCCAUGACAGCGGCUGAAGAAGCUGCAAAGGAAGCAGAUGCAGCAGAAGCUGCUUAAGCUUAUGCCUAAGAAGCUUCAAAGACAUUGAAAGGAAAAAAACAUCUGCAAAGUGAUGGUUUGUAAGUGAGGUGACAUAGAAGAAGAAGCUAAAUGUGUUGCAGGUGACGAGAGAGUGAUGCACAAAAGUAGUGUGUAUGUGUUGAUGAAUUUCGACUUAGAACAUUUUUUGUUGUAAAGAAGAAGCGAAAUGUGUUGCAGGUGACGAGAGAGUGAUGCACAAAAGUAGUGUGUAUGUGUUGAUGACUUUCGACUUAGAACUUUUUUUUGUUGUAAAGCAGUAAUUUUAGAUGCUAAAGCCAUUUUAUUA